rnacentral:misc_RNA from 1 species
UUAUUUUUUGUGGCAGUUGUAUUUUUCUGUUGGGAUGGCAUAUCAGGUGCAGUUGCAGAAAAAUUUCACGUCGAAGGAGACGGGGAAAUUAGUGGUGGAUAUAGGCACAUUGCAGGUGGAUAUGAGCACCAUGCAGGAUAUCCACAACAGAUUAAUAACGGUAAAU